UCUGUAGGGCACCGCUGACAUGAAUAUUUCUGCUGCAUCAGAGACGUUUGCUGUCACUGCCUCACUGUGCCUUGGCUGUAAUUGAGCGCAUCAUCCCGGAAGCUUGGCGCUAAGUUCGUCGAGGGCCACGAUGUAAAACGAUGCGUCAUCCGCAAAAGUGAUGUGUCGGAACAGGCAAACAAGAAUCAUCUGAAUAGGUGACAGUAACGGGACUGAGUGCCUUGAAAUUUCUUCUGGGCCUCCAGCCUUGCUAGGCCAGAGGAUUGCCGACCUGUGGCUGACUUGUGUUUGCCUUGAUGAGUGCAG